CUCAUUCUGGAAGUGUUUUAAGUGAGAUUGCCUCAGUGGAGUGUGUGGCUAGCUUUGAACUUUAAUCACUGAUUAGCACUCUGUUUCUGGUCUGGAAGCUCUCUGAGAAGGACCUUCUCUAUCUCAUUCACUGUAGGACCCUCAGAGCCUAGAACACUCAAUGGCACCGAACUCUCCAUGCUUGUGGACAAGGAUC
rnacentral:lncRNA from 1 species